rnacentral:lncRNA from 1 species
GGCCGCACGCACCUGAGGCGGACGCCGGCCCGGCCCGGCCCGGCCCGCGGGGGAGGCGGCGGAGGACGACGACGACGAGGCCCGCGCCCGGACAGGGACCAGGGACCAGGGACCAGGGGCCGGGGCGACCCCCGCGGAGCGGCGGCGGCGGCGGCGGACGAGGAUGAGGACCAGGACGAGGAGGAAGACGCGGGGACGACGAGCCCGCCGCCGAGGGGCCGCCCCCGCGGGAAGCCUCACUGAAAUGACCCUGAGGGGCCGAAGCCCCGCCGCCCCGGGGCUCGCGCGCGGGCCGCACAGCAGCGCCGUCCGCACCCCAGUAGCUUUUCACACACUUAAAAAGGAAGACAAGCUUAUCUUUUCCGGAGGCAACAGGUUAACGUGGCUCAAGAAGGAACAUGCAGUACACGACUCGAUUUGCAGCCUGAUGGGUAACUUCCACCUCACAAUUGGCUUCUUGAGAUAGAUCCUAACAAGUCAAUGAGAGCGAGCAAGCAGGGGAAGGGCAGGAGGAGAGGGAGAGAGAAAAUUUGAAGCAGGCUCCACACUCAGUGUGGAGCUCAACAUGGGCCUCGAUCUCACAAUCCUGAGAUUGUAACCUGAGUCGAAAUUGAGAGUCAGAUGCUUAACCGACUGAGCCACCCAGGCAUCCCUGAAAAUUCUUUUAUAUUCCUUCCUUCAAGACAUAGAACCUAAUGCCCUUCUCCCUUUGAGUGUGAGCUGGACUUCGUGACUCACUUCUAACCAACAGUAUAAAGCUGAAGUGAUGGUGUGGGACUUCAGAAACGGUCCGCUUGAUCCCUUCCUUUUGGGUCACUCUACAAGGAAGCCAACUGCCAUGUCAUGAGUACACUCAGGUAACUGUGGAGAGGCCCUUUAGGCAAGAAACAACGGUAUCUUGCCGACAGCCUUACAUCUGAGCUAAUUAGAAGACCGGCCCGUCAGCCCUAACCAAGCUUUCAGAGGACUGCAGCUUCAGGAAACACCCUGAGCUACAGCCAGCAAGUAAGCUACUCCCCAAUCCUUAACCAUAAAAACUACCAUAAAUGACUGCUGCUUUAAGCUGCUAAAUUUGGGGUAAUUUGUUUGCAAAGGAAAAUUAAUACAGAAGGAAGGCAUUUAAACUCUUGUUACAUUUCACAGCUUAGGCUUUUAAAAAAGGGUAAAGUUUAUAAAUAACUUUAACUUUUAACUACAGAAUCCUGAGCAGUUCUUCCCAUUUCUUAAUUCUUUAUAGUCUGGGCAUCAACUCUUAACCUCCAACCUCUCCAUUUUAAAAAUAAGUCUUUAUAAUAUAAUCAUUAUCAUUACAGUCUAAUAUAACCAAAAAAAAAAUAGAUUCCUUUGGCUUUUUGAUUUUACGGUCCCAUAGUAACCAAAAUGGAAAACAUUCUUGAGAGAGAUAUAGAUAUAUAAUUGUUUCCAGUACCAUAUAAGUUUCAGAUGUUUUUAUUUUUAGAUUACCUUGAUGAUUUCAUUUGUGCUUUGCAUUUAACUAGUAUAAAGAAUCAUAAAAUGUUACAGAUUGAAAAAAUCCUAGAGGAAACAUCACCUAGAAUUUUUCAAAAAAUAAAGAACCUGAAUAUCAUGAUCUCUCUUCCUCA